GACAAAACUAAAUGAAGAAUAUCCACAUGUGGUAUAUGAAGAGGAUUGUCACACUUGUGACCAAAUUGGCUCUUCCAAUAUACAUGAUGAGAUGGUAAGAGGUUUGUCGUCUGUUGCGUGGCAAAAGGUGAAUGUCAGUUUUAACUCUGGUUGCCUAAUUCAGUAUCAGGCUCAUAGUCUUAUUCAGGUGCAAUAUAAAUCCAAACAUAUCAAAGGUGCCGAUGUUAUCAAGCAUAUGAUUGACCAUUUUCUUAUAUAGGGGGCGGCCGUCAAUUGUAGGGAUCGACCAUUUGCUAUU